rnacentral:rRNA from 1 species
CAGCCGCCACGGGAAUACGGAGGGUGCAAGCGUUAAUCGGAAUUACUGGGCGUAAAGCGUGCGUAGGCGGUUCGUUAAGUCUGUUGUGAAAGCCCCGGGCUCAACCUGGGAAUGGCAAUGGAUACUGGCGAGCUAGAGUGUGUCAGAGGAUGGUGGAAUUCCCGGUGUGGCGGUGAAAUGCGUAGAGAUCGGGAGGAACAUCAGUGGCGAAGGCGGCCAUCUGGGACAACACUGACGCUGAGGCACGAAAGCGUGGGGAGCAAACAGGAUUAGAUACCCCGGUAGUCCCUGUCUCUUAUAU